rnacentral:rRNA from 1 species
CCUACGGGAGGCAGCAGUGAGGAAUAUUGGUCAAUGGACGAGAGUCUGAACCAGCCAAGUAGCGUGAAGGAUGACUGCCCUAUGGGUUGUAAACUUCUUUUAUAUGGGAAUAAAAUGUUCCACGUGUGGGAUUUUGUAUGUACCAUAUGAAUAAGGAUCGGCUAACUCCGUGCCAGCAGCCGCGGUAAUACGGAGGAUCCGAGCGUUAUCCGGAUUUAGUGGGUUUAAAGGGAGCGUAGGUGGAUUGUUAAGUCAGUUGUGAAAGUUUGCGGCUCAACCGUAAAAUUGCAGUUGAAACUGGCAGUCUUGAGUACAGUAGAGGUGGGCGGAAUUCGUGGUGGAGCGGUGAAAUGCUUAGAUAUCACGAAGAACUCCGAUUGAGAAGGCAGCUCACUGGACUGCAACUGACACUGAGGCUCGAAAGUGUGGGUAUCAAACAGGAGUAGAUACCCUGGUAGUC